CACUAUCAAAUAGGCAAGUCAAUUUCAUUUUAAAAUUUAUAUUUUACGACAUAUUUUUACUAUAAUAUACAUUAAUAUAAUAUACAUUUAUACUAUAAGUCUAUACUGACCCUUGCGAGAGGGCCAUUCCAUUUAAUAUCUACACCCCCCUGUGGACGAGAUUUUCCGAAGGGGUCUGAAAUUCUGAAUUUCUGAGGGGGUUCCAAGUUGAAAAUUUCCGAGGGGUGUUGUAAAACAAAAAUUUCUGAAGGGAUCAAAUUUUUUUUUUAAAUUUCUGAAGGGCCGGGGAAAAUUCUGAACAUUUCUGAAGGGGCACUACCUGUUGACGAGAAUUUCCGAGGGGGUUAAGAAAAUCCCUGAAAAUUUUUGAGGGGGUCAAGAAAUUCCCGAUAAUUUCUGAGGAGGUCAAAAAAUUCCCGAAAAUUUCUGAGAGGGGUCAAGAAAUUCCCGAAAAUUUCCGAUGGGGUCAAGAAAUUUCCAAAAAUUUCCGAGGGGGUCAAGCAAUUCCCGAUAAUUUCGAGGGGUAGGGAAUGUUUUGAAAAUUUCUGAAGGGAGCAAUAGUUUCCAAAUUCAAAUCAUCUGAAAUUAUACGGCAGAACGUCUCUCUCCUCCGCAGUGCCUCCUUAAGUAUUUACAAAUAACUUACAUGAAGUUUCCUGAAUAAAAGUGAGCGCGCAGAACGUAGAGAGUUAUUGAGCAGUGAAGGAGCAAUCUGCGCUUUCAGUUAAUAAACGAGCGGGGAUACCAUGCAU